rnacentral:rRNA from 1 species
GUUCCAUUACGAGCGCAACCCCUAUUUCUAGUUGCCAGCGAGUAAUGUCGGGGACUCUAGAGAAACUGCCCGCGUAAGCGGUGAGGAAGGUGGGGACGACGUCAAGUCAUCACGGCCCUUACGUCCAGGGCGACACACGUGCUACAAUGGUAGGGACAGUGAGUUGCAAGCCGGUAACGGUGAGCUAAUCUACAAACCCUAUCUCAGUUCGGAUCUAGGUCUGCAACCCGACCUCGUGAAGCUGGAAUCGCUAGUUAUCGCAUAUCAGCCAUGAUGC